UUGAAUCAAUUUCUUAUUACAAAAUAGAGUUUGUCACUUUACCUGUUUAUUGUAGGGGUCAAUUAAAGCUUAAGAUCAUUUUUAACAAAUAAAAAUACUGUUUAUGAAAAGAAGAUAAUUCAUAUACAGCUAGAAUCAUGGAGUACAAAAUGUAAUGUGUGGUUAAAAUAAACAUGUAAAGUGAAUUCACAUCUGCAGUAGAUGUAUGGUACUAGCCAUUUUAAAAGUUUGUUUGUAGUUAUUGAUGUUUUAGGGAUAAUACAAUUACUUGAAUUAUACAUUUUAUGCUGUAACACAUUUAUUGAUUGAUGUUGCUGUUUUUGUCCUUGAAAUAUUAACUUCUCCCAAUUCUAGCAGCUCUGUACAUAAGCAGUGAUCUACAUAAGCUGCAUGACUCUUCACCAAGCUUCUUGCCAGCAUCCUAAAAAUGUUGACUACCGUCUUGCUGGCAUGCAGUAAAGAGACAUGACGGUCCCUGAUGAAUCUGGGCUUCUUGAUCACCCAAGUACAAUCUACAUCCUAAUGCAGACAUACAUCACAAUUAUUUGGUUAAGAAGCAAGAACAUUAAAAACAUGACAGAGAAAGGGAUUAAAGUGGUGAGUUAAUCCUUCAAUAUUUAAAUUAUAUUUCUUGAUAUUGAUUUAGUAUUGUGAAAAAAGUUUCAAAUUGGUUUUAAAAUGCAUUAGUUUUUUGUUUAUCUAGUCUAUAGACAUUGUGAGGUAAAUACUGUCACUUAGCAAUGUGAAUUGUAAUCUUGAUCCAGCCGUAAACAUUGUUGGGAUGUUUGUGUAGAUCAAUAUAACUCUAAUAUAUAAAUCUAACCCUCAAAUACAUAAGAUAUACCGGUGAA